UACGAAGGGUGCAAACGUUGCUCGGAAUUAUUGGGCGUAAAGCGCACGUAGGCGGCUUAGCAAGUCGGAUGUGAAAUCCCUCGGCUCAACCAAGGAAGUGCAUCCGAAACUGCAGAGCUUGAGUACUUAAGAGGAUCGCGGAAUUCCCGGUGUAGAGGUGAAAUUCGUAGAUAUCGGGAGGAACACCAGUGGCGAAGGCGGCGAUCUGGGAAGAUACUGACGCUGAGGUGCGAAAGCGUGGGGAGCGAACAGG
rnacentral:rRNA from 1 species